GGCGACCGGCGUAAGGGUGCGUAACACGUGAGCGACUUGCCCGAUACAGGGAGAUAACCGGUGGAAACGCCGACUAAUAUCCCAUACGACAUGAGGCUGCAUGGCCUUGGGUUGAAAGGUUCGCCGGUAUCGGAUAGGCUCGCGGGACAUUAGCUGGAUGGCGGGGCAACGGCCCACCAUGGCGACGAUGUCUAGGGGUUCUGAGAGGAAGACCCCCCACACUGGGACUGAGACACGGCCCAGACUCCUACGGGAGGCAGCAGUGAGGAAUAUUGGUCAAUGGGCGGAAGCCUGAACCAGCCAUGCCGCGUGAAGGACUAAGGCCCUAUGGGUCGUAAACUUCUUUAGACGCAGAGCAAUAAGGGCCUCGUGAGGUCCGAUGAGAGUAUGCGUAGAAUAAGCAUCGGCUAACUCCGUGCCAGCAGCCGCGGUAAUACGGGGGAUGCGAGCGUUAUCCGGAUUUAUUGGGUUUAAAGGGUGCGUAGGCGGCGAAUUAAGUCAGCGGUGAAAGACCGGGGCUCAACCCUGGAAGUGCCGUUGAUACUGAUUGGCUAGAAUACCCUUGCCGUGGGAGGAAUGAGUGGUGUAGCGGUGAAAUGCAUAGAUAUCACUCAGAACACCGAUUGCGAAGGCAUCUCACGAAGGGGCGAUUGACGCUGAGGCACGAAAGCGUGGGGAUCGAACAGGAUUAGAUACCCUGGUAGUCCACGCAGUAAACGAUGAUGGCUAACUGUCGGGCUUUAGGGUUCGGCGGCCAAGCGAAAGCGAUAAGCCAUCCACCUGGGGAGUACGACCGCAAGGUUGAAACUCAAAGGAAUUGACGGGGGCCCGCACAAGCGGAGGAACAUGUGGUUUAAUUCGAUGAUACGCGAGGAACCUUACCCAGGCUCGAACGGCACCUGAAUCACCCAGAGAUGGGUGAGUCUUCGGACAGGU
rnacentral:rRNA from 1 species